CAGCAGUCCCCGUCCAACGCGAGACACUUCGUAAGAGCCGCAGCGCAGUCGUGUGCACGGUAAGGAGCUACUGUUGCAGAUGGUGGUCGCGCUCACGCUGGCGGUGGUUUCGCAGCCAGUGCGCACGUUCCCUCAGGAACAAGAGGUCAGAAGCGAGGAUCCGGUCACCUCCAACUCAGCUUGUCAUUGCAAUGGCCUUAGUACUUGUGCAAAUGGAACAAGUAUUUGAAAUCAACCCUGUGGAAAUUUCACACGUGGUGCACACUGUGAACAAUGUGUGAGUGGCUAUUAUGGAAACCCAGUUAAUGGAGGAAAAUGCAUCCCAUGUGAAUGUCAUGAUCAGGCUGCUGAAUGUCAUCCAGACACAGGAAAGUGCUUUUGCACAACAAAAGGCAUUGUCGGUGACCACUGUGAGCACUGUGACACUCAGAAAUAUUACCUUGGAGAUCCCACAAAUAAAGGCUCCUGUUUCUAUGAGCUCACAAUAGACUAUCAAUAUGUUUUCAAUAUAUCAAGCAAGAAUGACCGCCAUUAUACACAGAUUAAUUUUAGAAAUAGUCCACCAAACCUGGGUGUCGAUGCUGAAUUUCGUAUUGCUUGUUCAGUUCUAUCAAAGCUGAACAUCACUGUGA